rnacentral:rRNA from 1 species
AUACAUAGGGGGCGAGCGUUGUCCGGAAUGACUGGGCGUAAAGGGAGUGUAGGCGGUCGCGCAAGUUAUAUGUGAAAGCCCGGGGCUUAACCUCGGAAUUGCAUGUAAAACUGCGUGACUAGAGUGUGGGAGAGGAAAGUGGAAUUCCUAGUGUAGCGGUGGAAUGCGUAGAUAUUAGGAGGAACACCAGUGGCGAAGGCGGCUUUCUGGACCACAACUGACGCUGAGGCUCGAAAGCGUGGGGAGCAAACAGGAUUAGAUACCCUGGUAGUCCACGCCGUAAACGAUGGAUACUAGACGCAGGAGGUAUCGACUCCUACUGUGUCUGAAGCUAACGCAAUAAGUAUCCCGCCUGGGGAGUACGGCCGCAAGGCUGAA